UCUCCAUCAUAAGCGCCAGCGCCCGCCUUUGGCGGGACGACGAGGUGGGAAGAGGAUCGAAAUUUCGGCGGAUGCUUCCCCGUGCCCGUGGGCGCGCACACAGCCGACAAACAUGCGGGCGACCGCAGAACAAAGGGGCUGUGACCACGGGAA
rfam:Firmicutes bacterium CAG:129_59_24 Ley3_66761_scaffold_1303, whole genome shotgun sequence.